ACGCUGGCGGCGUGCUUAACACAUGCAUGUCGAACGGAAAGGCCCUGCUUUUGUGGGGUGCUCGAGUGGCGAACGGGUGAGUAACACGUGAGUAACCUGCCCUUGACUUUGGGAUAACUUCAGGAAACUGGGGCUAAUACCGGAUAGGAGCUCCUGCUGCAUGGUGGGGGUUGGAAAGUUUCGGCGGUUGGGGAUGGACUCGCGGCUUAUCAGCUUGUUGGUGGGGUAGUGGCUUACCAAGGCUUUGACGGGUAGCCGGCCUGAGAGGGUGACCGGCCACAUUGGGACUGAGAUACGGCCCAGACUCCUACGGGAGGCAGCAGUGGGGAAUAUUGCACAAUGGGCGGAAGCCUGAUGCAGCAACGCCGCGUGCGGGAUGACGGCCUUCGGGUUGUAAACCGCUUUCGCCUGUGACGAAGCGUGAGUGACGGUAAUGGGUAAAGAAGCACCGGCUAACUACGUGCCAGCAGCCGCGGUGAUACGUAGGGUGCGAGCGUUGUCCGGAUUUAUUGGGCGUAAAGGGCUCGUAGGUGGUUGAUCGCGUCGGAAGUGUAAUCUUGGGGCUUAACCCUGAGCGUGCUUUCGAUACGGGUUGACUUGAGGAAGGUAGGGGAGAAUGGAAUUCCUGGUGGAGCGGUGGAAUGCGCAGAUAUCAGGAGGAACACCAGUGGCGAAGGCGGUUCUCUGGGCCUUUCCUGACGCUGAGGAGCGAAAGCGUGGGGAGCGAACAGGCUUAGAUACCCUGGUAGUCCACGCUGUAAACGGUGGGUACUAGGUGUGGGGUCCAUUCCACGGGUUCCGUGCCGUAGCUAACGCUUUAAGUACCCCGCCUGGGGAGUACGGCCGCAAGGCUAGAACUCAAAGGAAUUGGCGGGGCCCCGCACAAGCGGCGGAGCAUGCGGAUUAAUUCGAUGCAACGCGUAGAACCUUACCUGGGUUUGACAUGGAUCGGGAGUGCUCAGAGAUGGGUGUGCCUCUUUUGGGGUCGGUUCACAGGUGGUGCAUGGCUGUCGUCAGCUCGUGUCGUGAGAUGUUGGGUUAAGUCCCGCAACGAGCGCAACCCUUGUUCACUGUUGCCAGCACGUUAUGGUGGGGACUCAGUGGAGACCGCCGGGGUCAACUCGGAGGAAGGUGGGGAUGACGUCAAGUCAUCAUGCCCCCUAUGUCCAGGGCUUCACGCAUGCUACAAUGGCUGGUACAGAGAGUGGCGAGCCUGUGAGGGUGAGCGAAUCUCGGAAAGCCGGUCUCAGUUCGGAUUGGGGUCUGCAACUCGACCUCAUGAAGUCGGAGUCGCUAGUAAUCGCAGAUCAGCAACGCUGCGGUGAAUACGUUCCCGGG
rnacentral:rRNA from 1 species